UUGUUGCAGGCUACAUUUGAGACUGAGAGGACUAGCCUUUGGAGCAGGUUACAGUUUCUACUUGGUAUUAAAAGAUUUGGAGCAGGCUACAUCUGUGAUGACCCAGAUCGAUUAUGCAUAAUCUCUUGGGAAGGAGGAGGCAUACCGUCAAUAGUUUGAAUCAAACCAGUAGAGGACGCCACAGUUGGUUAUGGUGCGACAGAACUGCAAUAAUCUGGCAGUGUGACCGUUAACCUCCUUAUGUUCGUCGCUUUAAACUCACUCAAUCUUUAUCCUUAAAUUCGCUGUAUAGCCAUGUAUCUGUAAAUUCCCUGCAUUAUUCUCAUGACCGUCGAAUACACCAUGUAACACAGUGAACUCAAUACUGCCUUAUUAUCUCAAUAUCAUGCACUUAGUACUUGGUCUAA